GGCUAUUGCUACAAAUAUACCCAAGCGACUUAAGACUGGUUUUGUGGUCCAGGGUCACAUAUUAAGGUGAUAUCUUAAUGUUACUCACAUGACAAAGCGUUAUGCUGUGAUUUACUGCCAGUGAUUCAUAUUGUUCAAUUGUUCAAAUGUUUUGACUUUGUAUAUUUAAAUGCCUUUUUGGUAGAUAAAAUAAUUAUUUUU